CUCAUGGGGAUCCCGCGACGCCCCGUGAGGCGACAGCCGAAUGUUCGUACCCUUCUGAAACCGAAAAACGGGGUACUUUACCAUG
rfam:Thalassobacter arenae DSM 19593 genomic scaffold Contig202, whole genome shotgun sequence.